rnacentral:rRNA from 1 species
GACGAACGCUGGCGGCGUGCCUAAUACAUGCAAGUAGAACGCAGUUGCGAACGGGUGAGUAACGCGUAGGUAACUGCCUGGUAGCGGGGGAUAACUAUUGUAAACGAUAGCUAAUACCGCAUACUACCAGAUGUAACUGCGUUGUAUUAGCUAGUUGGUGGGGUAACGGCUCACCAAGGCAACGAUACAUAGCCGGCCUGGAGGGGGGGUCGGCCAAACUGGGACUGAGACACGGCCCAGACUCCUACGGGAGGCAGCAGUAGGGGAACUUCGGGAAUGGGGGGAACCCUGACCGCGCAACGCCGCGUGAGUGAAGAAGGUUUUCGGAUCGUAAAGCUCUGUUGUUAAGGAAGCGGUACUUAACCAGAAAGGGACGGCUAACUACGUGCCAGCCGCCGCGGUAAUAC